rnacentral:rRNA from 1 species
CGACUACAGUCAGAGUUUGAUCCUGGCUCAGGACGAACGCUGGCGGCGUGCCUAACACAUGGCAAGUCGAACGGGGUAAAGACUUCGGUUUUUACUUAGUGGCGAACGGGUGAGUAACGCGUGAGAAACCUGCCUUUCAGUGGGGGACAACAGUUGGAAACGACUGCUAAUACCGCAUAAUGUUAUUUGGGGGCAUCCCUGAAUAACCAAAGCUUUAUGUGCUGAAAGAUGGUCUCGCGUCUGAUUAGCUAGAUGGCGGGGUAACGGCCCACCAUGGCGACGAUCAGUAGCCGGUCUGAGAGGAUGAACGGCCACAUUGGGACUGGGAUACGGCCCAG